rnacentral:rRNA from 1 species
AAACUAACAAGGAUUCCCCUAGUAACGGCGAGUGAAGCGGGAAUAGCUCAAAUUUGAAAUCUCAUAGGUUUUACCUGUGCGAAUUGUAGUUUAAAGAAACGUUUUCGGGAGCGGCUUGGGUAUAAGUCCUUUGGAAAGAGGCACCUAAGAGGGUGACAGUCCCGUGCAUGAUCCAAUGUCCGCUUCUAUGUGAUACGUUCUCAAAGAGUCAGGUAGUUUGGGAUUGCUGCCUAAAAUGGGUGGUAAAUACCAUCUAAAGCUAAAUAUUGGCGAGAGACCGAUAGCGAACAAGUACCGUGAGGGAAAGAUGAAAAGAACUUUGAAAAGAGAGUUAAACAGUACGUGAAAUUGCCAAAAGGGAAACGCUUGGAACCAGUAUUGUUUGCAUGUAAUCAAGUACACGUUCCGCAAGGGUCGCGUGUGCUGCACUUGCGUGUAGACAGGCCAACAUCAGUUUGAUUUGAGGUACAAAGCCUGAGAAAGGUAGCUUGGACUUGUCUGAGUGUUAUAGUCUCUGGUCAUGCCUUGGAUUGGACUGAGGACUGCAGCGUUUUUUGGGUUACCUGGUGGCUGCUUGAAACCAACCUUUAGACAGCAUGCUGACUCUGGGCGGGCGUAGGGUACUCACUAGGAUAACCACACCAGCGCUUAGGAUGUCGGCGAAAUGGUUCCAAACGAC